rnacentral:rRNA from 1 species
UAUGGAUUAAGUCAGGUGUCAUGGUCUUUAUGGAAUGGGAUAUUAUGCGCUACAUUCUCCUGUACAAUAUAUACAGUAAAUUAGGAGGCGGAGAUUCUCUGAAAUGGGAAUCUUAAAGUAGGAUUUGAUAGUAAUCGGGAAGUAGAGCGUUCCGGUGAAUUCUCACCCAGUGUUAGCACAAAUCGCCCGUCGUCCCCUUCAAGUUAAGGAUACGAGACGCCCCGCCGAAGGCGGGGUUAUCCCUCCUUUUCGAGAAUGGGUAAGUCGUAACAUAGUAAGGGUAAGGGAACUUGUUCUUG